rnacentral:rRNA from 1 species
UACGAAGGGGGCUAGCGUUGUUCGGAAUUACUGGGCGUAAAGGGCGCGUAGGCGGCCAUUCAAGUUAGGUGUGAAAGCCCUGGGCUCAACCUAGGAAUUGCACUUAUACUGUUUGGCUUGAGUUCGGGAGAGGUGAGUGGAAUUCCCAGUGUAGAGGUGAAAUUCGUAGAUAUUGGGAAGAACACCAGUGGCGAAGGCGCUCACUGGACCGACACUGACGCUGAGGGCGCGAAAACGUGGGGGACAAACA